CCUACGGGCGGCUGCAGUGAGGAAUAUUGGUCAAUGGGCGAGAGCCUGAACCAGCCAAGUAGCGUGCAGGAUGACGGCCCUAUGGGUUGUAAACUGCUUUUAUGUGGGGAUAAAGUGAGCUACGUGUAGUUUAUUGCAGGUACCACAUGAAUAAGGACCGGCUAAUUCCGUGCCAGCAGCCGCGGUAAUACGGAAGGUCCAGGCGUUAUCCGGAUUUAUUGGGUUUAAAGGGAGCGUAGGCUGGAGAUUAAGUGUGUUGUGAAAUGUAGACGCUCAACGUCUGAAUUGCAGCGCAUACUGGUUUCCUUGAGUACGCACAACGUUGGCGGAAUUCGUCGUGUAGCGGUGAAAUGCGCAGAUAUCAGGAGGAACACCGAUGGCGAAGGCAGGUCUCUGGGCUGU
rnacentral:rRNA from 1 species